rnacentral:misc_RNA from 1 species
AUCAUCUCCUUCUCGCCUCUUCAUUGUUUGGCUCGUGUACUUGCUCGGCCAAAAUCGGUUAUCCUGUGCUGCUUACCUAUCUUGAAGGCAUUACGUUGGCUAAAAUUGUUGGUUUUCCUUCGUGUACGGCCCCCCUAGCGGGGAAGCAGUGCGCGUUGGACCUCAAGGCGGUUGCUGUGUAUCCCACCAUUGUCAUCCUAAUGGGUGAUUUUGGUUGCCGAGCCACGGUGCAACGCUUGAUAUCUCGGGUUCGGAACAUCUAGUGGUAUUGGGGUCUUUGGCCUCCUUGACCACAAUUAAAAGCGUUCUACGCUUCGUGCGAACGACUGUCGACCCGAUCUUUUGCCGUGCCCUUGAAGUGCGGUUGGGAUCGUGUCUGC